CUUAGAUGUUGAUUGUAUGUAGGAUUUAUUAUUAUCAUUACCUUUUAUGCUAGCUUCCAUGAACAUUCUAGGCCUUGAUAUGUUGAUUUUAGCAGCAGCCAUGUCUUGAAGUGUCAAUAUAUUGAGACAUCAAGACCGAGAAUACAGUCUUUCUCCUUAGGAACACAUUAUAAUAAGUUUUAAGGAACACUAAGAUUCCAAAUCAGACUCAUUGGAGAUCAAAUUAUAAUUUGGUCAGCAGUUGUCUAAUAGGAACCAAACCAUCAAGGCUGCAGCGUGCAUGUUCCUGAAGCCUUAUUAAAUUUAAAUUAGCUGAAAUCUGGGAAAUUGGUAACAGCAGGGGUAUCCCAAUCUAUUCUUUCGGAAAUGUCCAUUAGUAUUUUUUCUUGAUGUCCAGUUAAUACAUGAAACACAACCAUGAGUUCAUGACCUUCCUUUAUUUUGUUCAGACUAGUGACUGAAAAAAAUCAGUUUUUCUAAUCCUUCAAGUCAUGUAGAUUUCUGGAGAAUUAGAAAUAAUCAUUCAUUUUUGGCCACAAUGGUAGAGAGAGAGGUGCACUAAUGUUAAUUCAGUAGAAACAUUCUUGUAAAUCUUAUGAUUUGAAUUGUCUUUGAGCACAACAAAAUGUGUAUUAUUUUUCCUCUUUUAAGGGCCCCAGUCUUCUUUCCUUCUACUGAUUCACUGUGACUACUGACACCCCAGAGCCAGGUGGAUGGAAGAAAUAAAAGAACAUUUUGAUAGGCGAAAGAAAAGGCAUUUUGCUUAUGUUACUGAACGAUUCCUUAAUAGGUACGUAGGAGCCAAGGAAACGUUGUCAAAAUUUUAAAUUAUCUUUUAAGACAAGACAUUAAUAACUCCCCUUGAUUAAAAUGGUAAUAAAGAGUCCUUGUUGACUAAAUAAUCAUCCUAAGAUGGAGUUCAAGUUUUCACAAUUAUUUCCAACAGAACAAGGCAAGCUAAUGACAAUAUAGCUGUCUUUCAAUUAUGAUACAAUUUCAGUUAUGAUUAGCAUACUUUCAAGAUUAUCUUUCCUAAAUGGAGAGCCUAGAUAACGUAACAAAAGAUUUAUUCAUUAAACAGAGAAAAAUCCUUCAUUUUUUGAUAAGCAAAUAUGAGUAAAGCAUAAGUUGCCAUUCACACUGGAUAAGAUCAUGUUUAACAGAAUGUACAUACUGUUAUAUAGGGAUUGAGUUCUUGGUAAUUUUAUGUUUGUUGUUUUAC
rnacentral:lncRNA from 1 species